GAUGAAGAACGUAGUGAAAUGCGAUAAGUAAUGUGAAUUGCAGAAUUCAGUGAAUCAUCGAAUCUUUGAACGCACAUUGCGCCCGCCAGUAUUCUGGCGGGCAUGCCUGUCCGAGCGUCAUUUCAACCAUCAAGCCCCGGGCUUGUGUUGGGGACCUGCGUCCGACGCAGGCCCUGAAAACCAGUGGCGGGCUCGCUGUCCACACCGAGCGUAGUAACUAACCUCGCUAUGGAGUGGCGCGGGCGCCUGCCGUAAAACCGCCAAUUUCACAAGGUUGACCUCGGAUCAGGUAGGAAUACCCGCUGAACUUAAGCAUAUCAAUAAGCGGAGGA
rnacentral:misc_RNA from 1 species